AACUUCAAACUUGACAGAAACAGAAGUCAGAACGAAAGAUUGGUAUUGGAGUAUUGAAUGAACUAUGAAGAUUGAACUUGUGCCUACUGCCUCUAUCUUUAUCUGCAACGCGUGAUUUCAGAUUUCAGAUUUACCUUAUCGGCAUUAGUGUACGAAAAGAAAACCCAUCUAUAGAUAAUGAACCGUCCUACAUAUUUGCACGAAGUGUAGACAAUUCAUCAGACGGAUAAUUGGAAUGAAUUGCUGAGAUAACAUAACGGAUUUCACACAUCCUUCUGGUCCAUAGAUUGACUAAUUGUAUGGGUUUUUCUUUCUACUCGUAUUUGACAAGAUUAAGCGAAGACAGAAGAAAUGAAGAUGAUCCUUGAAACAUGAAAGAAAUAAAUUCGUAAAUAUUUUCGUAACUGGCUUACCUACGCAUAGUACGACUCGUAUAAAACCGCAGCGCAGCGCACCGAAUUUCAUUGACCACCGCAGCAGUCCACCAUCCACCAUCCACCACCGAUAAAACAGCGGUAGUUAACCGAAUUAAGCGUAAUUAAAAAACCAUUACACUAGAGAAUAAAGAUUCGCGCACGUUGAAUUGAAUGUUGACAAUGAAUGAACGAGUCGAGUCGAGUCGAAAAAUGAAAAGCCAGUGUGGUCUGGUCUGUGCUUGUGUGCUGUUUACGGCGCCUGUCGACGAUAUCGCACGCGAUUACAUACACAUGUGAUACAAAUUCUAGGAAAAAAUAAUCUCUAUGGGAAGACGAAGAAAUGGCGAAAUGAGUAAUACGAGAACCUGAGCAGAUCAGUUCGGAAAAUACAACGUAUUAAUUGGGAAAAUAUUCGUGAAAGUGCAGGCAGAUGAGAAGAAGUCGAGGAAAAUGACUAAUCGAGGUAUCUGGCCAUCUUUUCGAAACGAAUAUUUACGAAUUGCAGAUAAAUUCUCGAUGCGAUGCUGAUGACGAAUAAAAACAUAUGUGAGCUACGAUAAGAAGAUGAAUCAAUCGAUAGACUAUCAAUGUUCUGCAGCCUCCUACAAUGUAUCGCCAACCACCGGAAAACAUCUCUUCAGGGGCAUAUCGCGACCUAGCUGAAGCCACCAUUCAACCAAAAUAAUACUGCAUAGACUAUUUAAUUGCCGGAAAAAUAUCGUAGAGCGUGAAAGAAGCGGUCAAAUGGAUUGAAAAAUAACCUCGAUGAGAACUUUUCGCAAUGCUGAGUUCGGUGAGACGAAUUUUCAUCGGUUUUCGAGUUCCUUUCCUGAAGAGAGCUGCUGCUAUUGUUUUACCACAAAACCGACGCUAUGCUAUCCUUAUCCUUUGACCGGCUACUUGAAUUUUUCGAAAUGCUGCGUUCGGUGACAUGAAUUAUAGAAGUUUGUAUGGGUUAUCAAGUUAAUUCUUCGAAGAGAGGUUCCACUAUUGUUCUACCAGGGACUGGCGCUAUUAUGCAACUUACAGCUGGCUUAUUAUGAUGUCGCGAUCAAUUGAAUAUAUGAAAUGUGUUAUUGGCAACGUCGCAGUUCGAUAAAUUUUCGGGUAACGCGCAUGCGUACGUGAGAAUUUGCUUGGAUACAACAGCAGAUAUGUACUACGAUCCAGAUGUAUUAUUGGCAACGUUGCAGUUUGGCUUUUUCCCUGAUGAUUUUGCAUGAAGAGAUGCUGUUUUCGAUGCAGUCAAAAUUACUACGAUAAAAGCAGCGUUGUGAGCCGGUUUUGGUAUAACGCAGUUGCCAUUCACAAUUAGGCUGCAGCGCUACCAAGGGCAACUGGGUUACCAUUUCUGUUUCCCUCAGCCUGAAGUUGGAUAUUUUAUGAAAUGAUUUUAUGAUAGAAAUGCAAAUUGUUUUGAUGUUUGAAAGCACUCCAACACUACAGUGCAAAUUCAGUAGAAAGAGAUGGCAACUGUAUGAAGGUAGCAGAAAUUUUGGAAUCAUCUUGAAAGUUUGGACAUCUCAUCCUGCUGAUUGCCAAACAAUCUUACUACAAACAUCAUUCCAUCACUUGUCAUCACCAGAGAUCACCACAGGCACCGCAUUAGCAGCAGCAGCAGCAACAUCCUCAUCGAGUUUGAGCACUGGGCCAGUUGUAGUAACCUUCUUAAUCGUCAUUGUUCAUCGCUGCUAUUUCGUUUACCUAUCUAUUAUGAUAUUUCCCAUCGUCGCCGCAUCAAUCAGCUCCGCAAGAUACCAGCACUGCAUCAGAUUCACUCUGUUCAUCAUCUGAAUUUCGCAGUCUGAAUUGUAAUCUUCAUCAUUUCAUCUGGGAUCAGCAUUGGUGUUGGAAACAAGGUAGGUGAUGAUCUUUUGCAAUCCCCCCUCUCCCCUCAAGAAUCUUUGUUCAAUAUUUUUGCUUGUGCAAUCUUAUGUGGUACCUGAUCAUUGUGCCUAUUUAAAUACAGCCAGCUUUUACUUUUCGACCUCAUGGCUCAAAUGCAACACAUGUUGGCUGGUUACUGCUAAUUGAUUCAUUUUUUUCAUUCCUGACCUGGAUAAUAUGGAGUAGUACAUAAUUAUGAUUAUUGAAGAGUGAGGUAUGUUUUAUAGAGGUUUAGUUUAGCGGUAGCAUGAACUGAUUGAAUUUGCUAGUUUAAUCACAGCCAUAUUCCAUAUUACGAGUUGCAGAUCAAAACAAACUUUUUUUCAAAGGAGAGAUGUUUGAAUGUAGCGCUGGUGGAGAGUUUAUUUGUAUGCAGAUAGAGAUGUUUUGAGGUGCGCUGGUGGUGAGUGUUGUAUAGGGGAUGCAGUUGUGGCCGGUCUUGUUAAGUUCUGUCCCAUGCUCGCCUGUUAAGCAUCAACCCACAACUGUACAUUUUCCAUUGCGAUUUUUUGAAAAUUUAUCUUCUGUUAGCUUCUAGGUUAAGAAAACGCAUCCGCGGGUACGGGCUCUCGCCCAAGGAUCCGUCAGGUCGGGGGCCUGCUCGGUGGGCCGCGCUGGCAGAAAACUGUACGGAGUCCAGGGGCCGAUGAUAUUCGUUGAAUUGAGGGAAACCUGGCCUCACUCCAACGAGGGGUAGUCGUAAUAGGCUGGUACAGGAAGUAACGUUUGCGUUUCCGUCUAGCGGUUAUAGUCUGACUGUUUCUGCGACCUUAGUUCCGGUUUAUCAAAGAUGGAGCAGGGAUGGUUAAUGUUACCCUCAGAAUCGUGAUAUUGGCCAUUCUUGCCGUCGAGGAUGACCUGCCUCGGUUGGUUCAUCAGAUCUGCCUGCGAACCAACCGCACGCACGGUAAGUGGUGCACUCUAGGUUUUGCAUACACUUGCUUGCGUGAAAUGUGAGUUGAGUUUUUUUGAGAGAAAUUUGAAAUUUCAAAAGGCUGACCUGGUUUUGUUGCUUCGGUCAACUUGCCAGGCAGGUGAGCGUGUGUGAAAAGGUGUAUGGUGAUCUGGAUUGCGUUUUAGCGAUAUUUGGCUGCGAAUAAACUUGCAAAUUUUUCUGUCGUGAUUCAUGUAGUAAGUAAGUACAUAAAACAUUGGAAGAUUUGAAAAAUAAGGAGAAUUUGUUGGAAACAUCUAUUUCUUUAGUUAGGGUCAUUUUUCACAAAGGUAGGUGAUAAUUAUUCAUACAAUUAUAUCGAAGAGUUAUAGUUUUCAAUCCCCCCCCCCGGGGGGCCCGCUAGUAAUCCUCUUCACACGAUUGCUCAUAAGUUCAUUUUUUUAUGUUUAUGAUAAUAUUUGUAAGAUGUGAAAGCUAAUUUACAUCGUGUCUUUUACGUAUGUAUUUGUGAAAUUAUUAUUUUCAAGUACAUGUUAAUUUUCAUUCCCCUCCUUCCCUUAUUCGUGUGACCCCUCAGGACAAUAAUCUUGUAUUUUUUAAGAUUGUUAAUUGUUUAAUUUUUACACUUGUUUUUAUUUAUUAUUAAAAAAAUAAUCGAUGUUAAAAUUGUUGCUUCUAUUACUGAUAUUGUAAGUUGAUUAUAUUUUCAUUUUUUCUAUCUAUUUGUUUGUAUUUUUUGUGCUUUUUUUGAUUUUUGAUUUUUUUUUGUAUGUAGGUAGGUAUCAUGUUAAUUUUCAAUUUUUCAUGUUUUUAUGAUGUUUUCAUUGUUUUUGUAAGCUUAUUUUGUGAAUUGUGAUCGAUAUUGUACAUAUCAUUGAGCAUGCAACUUUUGAUUUGAUUAGUUAGAUGUGUGGUUGUGUUGUGUUU